AUUGAACGCUGGCGGCAUGCUUUACACAUGCAAGUCGAACGGCAGCACGGGGGCAACCCAGGUGGCGAGUGGCGAACGGGUGAGUAAUGCAUCGGAACGUACCCGGGAGUGGGGGAUAACGUAGCGAAAGUUACGCUAAUACCGCAUAUUCUGUGAGCAGGAAAGUGGGGGACCGUAAGGCCUCACGCUUCUGGAGCGGCCGAUGUCGGAUUAACUAGUUGGUGGGGUAAAGGCUUACCAAGGCGACGAUCCGUAGCGGGUCUGAGAGGAUGAUCCGCCACACUGGGACUGGGACACGGCCCAGACUCCUACGGGAGGCAGCAGUGGGGAAUUUUGGACAAUGGGCGCAAGCCUGAUCCAGCCAUGCCGCGUGAGUGAAGAAGGCCUUCGGGUUGUAAAGCUCUUUUGUUGGGGAAGAAAUGCUCUGGGUUAAUACCCUGGGGUGAUGACGGUACCCAAAGAAUAAGCACCGGCUAACUACGUGCCAGCAGCCGCGGUAA
rnacentral:rRNA from 1 species